AAGACCGAAGUGUUUUUGGAAAAGAAGGUCAAUUGAUUCAGGACAUCCUGUAUGACAGUAGGUCUGACUGAUCGUAGUUCAAAACAGUGAUGCAUAAAUUAAUCUUGCACUUGGUUCUGAAGCCUAACUCUAUAUGUAUAAGCACUCAUUGUCCAGUGGCGCUUUUAAAAUAAAUAAAUAUAUAUAUAUAUAUAUUUAAAAAGCGCCACUGGAAAAAAAAGCGCCAUAUAUAUAAUUUAUUUUGUUCAGUGUAGGCCUCUACUUGAAUGCAUAUUCUACAGGCUACCUCUAUGUUCAGUAGGAAUGAAUCACACGACUGCUAUACAGUUGAUAGUGAAUGUUGCACUAAAAUGUCACAAUGACAAUGUUACAAUGAAUAUUGCACUAAAGUUCAAAUGUUACAAUAUUAAUGUUUCAGUACAUGUUGCACUAAAGUAACAAUGUUGAAAUACAUUGAUGGUUGUCUUUUUGUCUUUGCUCUCAGUAUUCAUAUCGUGUUGUUUAAGGGUUUUUGAUGUGUAAAAUAGUCACACUAGAAUGUGACGGGGCAUUCUAGAGGCAAUGCUGGGGACUGCCAGUGACAAAGUUUUAAAUGUGUUAAUAACUAGGUUGGGAUUUAUAUAUGAACUUUGAUUACUGCAUAGGAGAAAUAUGUUAAUUUAGUAUAUGUAACAUUAUCCCACCGGUCACAAUUGUGACCGACCAUAACACUUUUUCACCUACUUUUUCAUUAACAUUUUUUUUUUUAAAUGAUUACUAAUGACACUUGAUUUGGAUAUUUUCAUGUCUGGGAAAAAUUGGGUUAAAAUGAGAAGUGAUUUUUUUCUAAUAGACUGCAUUUCACUUUGGGCUGACAAGCAGAGGAGGAGUGCAGGAAGUGGUAAGGAGGAGAUUAGAAUGGUGAGGAGUGGUCUCGUGUGUUUACAAGUAUCAAUUAAGCAGCCUGAAGCAUUGUACUUUCUGUAUUGCUAAAGGGAUUGUGUUACUGUUAUUUCACUUUUCAAUAGUAUAGUAUAGAUGGCUCUAGUGCGCUCAUGUACACUUUGCUAUAAGGUUGUGAUUGGCUUCAGUCAGCACCUUAGGUAUACACCAUGUGAGGAACAGUGAAGAAAGGGUGCUCCUUUGUAAUUGGCAGUCGGGACGUGUCAAUGUCAGGCAGGAGCAGUGUCCAGUGACAGGAUGCUCCACACAUCUCAGCAGACUAGACUGGCAUAUAGACUCCCACACAGAGCUCAACAGACAGGUUUUAGAGGACCUUUGGAGACGGCAGAGGCUGGCGGCGUGGAGGACAUAGAUCCCUGCCAUCCCACUGGCAACAGAUUUGGAUAUUGUGGAGACUAAGGAAAGAAGGGGAGGAGGAAAUACUAUGUUCACCAACAGAAGCAGAGGAGGAAGUGGACUGCAAAGAGGAUUCUGCUACUGCCACGCACCAAUCCUGAGACUGACGAAAGCUGUGCAAGAGAGGGAUGAGGCACUGACAAUGAGAAGUGAGACCAACCAAUCCAUUAAAGAGGACAACCUGAAGUUGAUCGCUGAGCUGCAUUGAGUGAGGAAGAAGUACCAGCUGCUGAAAAGGAAGAUGGGGAUUGUCAGGGUGAGUCCGGCAAAGAAGGCCCUCAACUUUCAGGCAGACAGACACAAAGCGACAGGUUCAGGGGACCAGAGAGAGGAGCCUACAGUGUCCGAUCUAGCUGCAAACUCAUCUUUCCGGGAUCUGCUAUGAGUAAGUACUGUUUCUUUAAAUAGUGGCAGAGUUUGUGUUUGAAAAUAAUAUGAUAAACCGCCUGACUGAAUCAUGUGGCCUCAUGAGAUUGUAAUUCUAGUCUAAAAUGUUGUUUUUUGAUUAGGUGUGUUUAUCGGGGGAUUCAGGAAGACCUGUGAGGGCCCCAAUCCAAAUUAUAAGCUUAGGGAAAAUUGUGCCUCAAAGGUCAAGAGGGGGAUGCAAUUUUUGAACUACAUGGCCAAGAAUGAGACCUACCAGUCCUCUCUCCUUUUCCUGACAGACCAUGACAGAAUAAGGCAAAAAACAUUGGCGCAAUUCUUAAAAUAUACCAAGGAGACCCCUCCACCUGGCUGCCGGAUGACCGUAAACCAAUGGAAGGGGAUCAACUGGUUGAUGAAGGGCAUUAACAAGUCCAUGAGACGACCAGUUUCCCUUCACCAGGUGGGGGAAGAAAACUAAUUGAGAGUAUGGCAUGGUCCAGAUGUCGCUGACGAAGGUUUUCAGACUUCCUGAAAGCACUCAAGCACUUUCUCUCAGGGGCAAAGAAGGCCCAGCACUUUUUAAAUUCCACAAAGAACCUGCCUGCCUACCUGAGGAAGGUGUGGAAGGAGAGGAGUCUGUCCGAAAGUCCUACCUUCACUGACCUGUGGACCUCCAUUGUCACUCAUGUA